rnacentral:lncRNA from 1 species
GAAACACACUUAAAAUGACUCAAAAUAAUGAAAACAAUCAAAUUAAACACUAGGAACUGAAAUGGACAGAAAUUAAAUUAAAAGACUAACAAUAAAGAAAACUAAAUAAAUAAUAUAAUUUAAUAAUGGAUGGGUGUUGGUUUUGAUGAAAAGUAAAUUAAACUUAAUUAAAUUACAGAAUUGAUAAAAACAUAAAAUUAAGGUAAAAUGAUAAAUGACGGACUAGCUAGAGGGUUCUUCUCCACACAUGUUAAACUUGCAUACAAAAUGAUUUCCAGUUGUUCUUUUAAUAAAUUGUGAAUUUCAAUACUCC